AUUGAACGCUGGCGGCAGGCCUAACACAUGCAAGUCGAGCGAGCGGCGGACGGGUGAGUAAUGUAUGUGGACUGCCCGAUCGAGGGGGAUAACUACUGGAAACGGUGGCUAAUACCGCAUACUAUCGGAUAACCCAUAUGGGAUUAGCUAGUCGGUGGGGUAAUGGCUCACCUAGGCGACGAUAUCUAACUGGUCUGAGAGGAUGAUCAGCUAAACUGUGACUGAGACACGGCCCAGACUCCUACGGAGGCAGCAGUAGGGAAUCUUGCGCAAUGGGCGCAAGCCUGAUGCAGCAAUGCCGCGUGUAUGAAGAAGGCCUUAGGGUUGUAAAGUACUUUCAGCGGAGAGGCGGUACCCGCCGAAGAAGCACCGGCUAACUCCGUGCCAGCAGCCGCGGUAAUAC
rnacentral:rRNA from 1 species